UUUGUUCUAGAGCACACAUGCCUGAAAGCGCUAGUUAUAGCAACAGGAUUGUAAACAUUUUGUUAAACAAUUGACCACCUAAAACAUCUCCUAGCUGCCUUGGGGGUGAGCCCACCCAUUGGACGAGACACUGCAUGACGAGACACUGCGUGAGGAGACACUGAGCAGCGACAGCAGCAGGAGUGCCCGUUGAGAUGACCCAGCAGGAAGGUGAAGAUGUAUUAGCCCAUUUGAAACAAGAUUCCUGUGACAGAAAAUAAAAAGAAGCAAUCAAUAAUGUGCAAGGAUGAGUCUUCCACUAGCAGCCUUUGGAUGAAUGAACCUAUGGACAAACAGAUGGACUAUGGCUACAGCUACAUGGAAUGUCAAGGUAGAGGGGUGAGACUGUGAGCAAUGAUUAUGAAGAGACCAGCAUCACUAAGGUGAAAUCUUCUGGGAAGUGUUUUCUGGGAGCACAAAGAAGUUGUCUUCCAGAGAUAGUCAAGGUUGUACCUCGUGCUGCAGCUGGACUUGGUAAUGUGUAAUCACCAGGUGGUACUGGUUUUGAAUUCAUGAAGC
ensembl:antisense 4930430E12Rik RIKEN cDNA 4930430E12 gene